UUUAUAUUUUUUAUAUAAGUGAAAAAGGAUUUAAUAGUAAAUUUAUUUAAUAGAAAUUUAAUGAAUUAAGAUUCUGAAAUAUGUACACAUUGCCCGUCGCUCUUAUUUAAAAUAAGAUAAGUCGUAACAUAGUAAGUGUACCGGAAGGUGUACUUGGAAAUUGAGUAAAUAGUUUAAUUAAAGCUUAUUAUUUACAUUAAUAUGAUAUCUUGUAAGAUUUUACUUUUUAGUUAUAUUAUGCAGUUUAAAAUUUUUUAAUUUAUUAUUGUGAAGGGGAGAUCACUUUAUAUUUAUUAGAAAAUUAAAAAUUGUACCUUUGGUAUCAGGGAUAAUUGAAAUUUAUUUUUUAUUAAGUUUUCUCGAAAAAAAAAGAUUUAAAUAUUUAUAAACUUUUUUGUGUAAAAAAAUAUUUUCAUAAAUAUUUAGUAAUGAUAAGUUAUACAAUUUUUUAUAUCUGGUUGCUUAAAGAUUAAUUUAAUUAAUAUAAAUUUCGUUUGUUGAAAAAUUAAAAAUUUGUUUGGGGAUAAUCUUGGAUUAAAUUAAUAGAUAAUUUAUGUGUAUGAUUGUUAAGUUUAAAAUUAUUUGAUUUAUAUGUUAAAAUUAAUCAUAAAAUAUUUAAUUUUAUAAAGUUUCUUUAAGGGGAGUUAAAGUAAACUAAUUUAAUAAUUAAAUUAUUAUAAUUAUGAUUAUAUUAGUAGAUUGAAUUAAUUAAUAGAUAAGAAUUCGGCAAAUUAAAAUUUCGUCUGUUUAUCAAAAACAUCUUUAUAAGAUUAUAUGUUUAUAAUAAU
rnacentral:rRNA from 1 species